GACGAACGCUGGCGGCGUGCUUAACACAUGCAAGUCGAACGGAAAGGCCCUGCUUUUGUGGGGUGCUCGAGUGGCGAACGGGUGAGUAACACGUGAGUAACCUGCCCUUGACUUUGGGAUAACUUCAGGAAACUGGGGCUAAUACCGGAUAGGAGCUCCUGCUGCAUGGUGGGGGUUGGAAAGUUUCGGCGGUUGGGGAUGGACUCGCGGCUUAUCAGCUUGUUGGUGGGGUAGUGGCUUACCAAGGCUUUGACGGGUAGCCGGCCUGAGAGGGUGACUGGCCACAUUGGGACUGAGAUACGGCCCAGACUCCUACGGGAGGCAGCAGUGGGGAAUAUUGCACAAUGGGCGGAAGCCUGAUGCAGCAACGCCGCGUGCGGGAUGACGGCCUUCGGGUUGUAAACCGCUUUCGCCUGAGACGAAGCGUGAGUGACGGUAAUGGGUAAAGAAGCACCGGCUAACUACGUG
rnacentral:rRNA from 1 species